rnacentral:lncRNA from 1 species
CGCGGCCCCGCGCCGCGCCCCCGGCACCCGGAGCGCCGCCGCCCGCGCACUGACAGAAGCUCACAGGUGCCGCCGCGCUCGGCCCGAGUCGCGGAGGGGCGGCCCCGCUGCCCUCUCGGCUCCGCACCGGCGGGAGGGAGAUAGCUCGGGAGGGAGGAGCGGCGCGGGAACAGCGGCAGCGCCGAGAUCUGUCCUUUCAACCCUCAUAAUCAUCUUGAUGUCCAAAGAAACACAAUCUGUGGACAAAAAGCCUCUAAAACUGGAGUGUGGCUUCACUGAGGUUUUCUCAAGUUGAGGAAGUAGCAGGGCAUUUGGUUGGUACCUGACCCCAAAACGUAUGCUCUACCUUGAGAAGAGCUGAUGUGGGAGACAUUUACCUUCACAUGCUCCACAGUUCUCUGUAUCAGAAGAAUAAGACUCUGUGUGUAAGAGUGGUUCAAGAUGAUCAUGUAACAUUGCUAACACUGAAGGUCUCCUGAGAAGAACUGGCUUUGUAAGAGGCUUCUCCUUUCCUAACCUUUUUUUUUUUUAACUACUAC